AAUAGUCAGUGUCUUUUAUAUUGACGUACUCUUCAGCCACUUUCAUAUGUUUCUUCUCCAAAACACACACACCACACACAGUGUGGAGAUGUAAGCUCCCUCCUCCGCCGUUUCCGUCACCGUUGCCGUUGCCGGGGAAUUUACAGCCACUAAAGGAGGCGUCCAAAGGGAUCGCAUUGAUCCCAACUCAAUUACACUAUUCUUUUUUUUUUUUCUUUCAUUAUAUUUAAUAUACCAUCUUUUUUGUAAUAUAUUUAACUAUAAUUCAUAUAUUUGGAUCAUGCCAUCUCUUUGGAUUCAUCCUUUGGUAGCUCCAAACACGGAGAUCCGGUGAAGAUCAUGCAACGAAACAGCGUCUCUAGGUUCGUGUUAUCGGCCUCAUUUACUCAAUAUUUGGCUCCAACCAAAAUGAUGAUGGCGAAUAAAGUCAGGAUGUGUACUUCCAUUUGCUUAUGUUUAUUAUGGUUUACGCAUUUCUUUUGAAUCGAGAAAUUUGUAUUAAAAAGGGGGACUUUUAAUUUAUAUAUAUGCAGCUAUGUGAUAAAAUGUUAUAUGUUUGAUGGGGAUAGGGACUGAUAUAUAUACUAUUAUUCCAAGUUAUUUGAGUCGAAUUCCAUUUCAAA